ensembl:snoRNA
ACUGGCAUAAGGAUGAUAUUUCUGCCGUUUACCCAUCUGACUGGUUGGUGAUGUGUAACUUUGAAUCUGAAGUGCCAGU